CUCGUGUCGUGAGAUGUUGGGUUAAGUCCCGCAACGAGCGCAACCCCUACGUUUAGUUGCUAACGCGUGAAGGCGAGCACUCUAGACGAACUGCCGUUGACAAAACGGAGGAAGGUAGGGAUGACGUCAAAUCAUCAUGCCCCUUAUGUUCUGGGCUACACACGUGCUACAAUGGCCGGUACAGACGGACGCAAAGCCGCGAGGUGGAGCAAAUCCUAAAAAGCCGGUCUCAGUUCGGAUUGCAGGCUGCAAUUCGCCUGCAUGAAGUCGGAAUCGCUAGUAAUCGCAGGUCAGCAUACUGCGGUGAAUACGUUCCCGGGCCUU
rnacentral:rRNA from 1 species